rnacentral:rRNA from 1 species
AUACGGAGGGUGCAAGCGUUAAUCGGAUUUACUGGGCGUAAAGCGUGCGUAGGCGGUUUAUUAAGUCAGAUGUGAAAGCCCCGGGCUCAACCUGGGAACUGCAUUUGAAACUGGUGAACUAGAGUUUGGUAGAGGGUAGUGGAAUUCCAGGUGUAGCGGUGAAAUGCGUAGAGAUCUGGAGGAACACCAGUGGCGAAGGCGGCUACCUGGACCAAAACUGACGCUGAGGUACGAAAGCGUGGGGAGCAAACAGGAUUAGAUACCCCUGUAGUCC